CCAUCCACGCUGUCACAGAAGAUUUCCUUCUCUUUGACGGCCGAGCAGUGUAGAUAAAGAAGCGGUGAACCUGGGUAGGUGCCUAGGAAACAUGUGUUGAAUGGAGGAGACUCCAGGCCCAGACUCAGGCCCAGACAGGUAGAGAAACUUGCUCAAGGUCACCCAGCUACCGCCAGGCAGUUGGCCAGUCUGGACCCAGAGCCCAUUUUCUAAUCCCUGGCUGGGGCGAUGCAGGGACCGUGAAAGAAGAGGCUGUCUGUUAUCUGGGCCCCUCCCAGUUGUCCUGGACACUGUAAGGUGGGUUUUGCUGUUCCCAUUUCUCAGAUGAGGUGUACGUACUGAGGCUGAACCCAAGCCUGAGAGGACCCCAG